GACGAACGCUGGCGGCGUGCUUAACACAUGCAAGUCGAACGAUGAAACCUAGCUUGCUAGGUCGAUUAGUGGCGAACGGGUGAGUAACACGUGACUAACCUGCCCCUUUCUCUGGGAUAACGCUCCGAAAGGAGUGCUAAUACCGGAUACUCACAUCGAGGCACAUGCCUUGGUGUGGAAAGUUUUUCGGAAAGGGAUGGAGUCGCGGCCUAUCAGCUUGUUGGUGAGGUAACGGCUCACACAGGCGACGACGGGUAGCCGGCCUGAGAGGGCGACCGGCCACACUGGGACUGAGACACGGCCCAGACUCCUACGGGAGGCAGCAGUGGGGAAUAUUGCACAAUGGGCGCAAGCCUGAUGCAGCGACGCCGCGUGAGGGAUGAAGGUCUUCGGAUUGUAAACCUCUUUCAGUAGGGACGAAGCGAAAGUGACGGUACCUAAAGAAGAAGCACCGGCUAACUACGUGCCAGCAGCCGCCGUAA
rnacentral:rRNA from 1 species